CCUACGGGUGACAGCAGUGAGGAAUAUUGGUCAAUGGACGAGAGUCUGAACCAGCCAAGUAGCGUGAAGGAUGACUGCCCUAUGGGUUGUAAACUUCUUUUAUAUGGGAAUAAAACGUUCCACGUGUGGGAUUUUGUAUGUACCAUAUGAAUAAGGAUCGGCUAACUCCGUGCCAGCAGCCGCGGUAAUACGGAGGAUCCGAGCGUUAUCCGGAUUUAUUGGGUUUAAAGGGAGCGUAGGUGGAUUGUUAAGUCAGUUGUGAAAGUUUGCGGCUCAACCGUAAAAUUGCAGUUGAAACUGGCAGUCUUGAGUACAGUAGAGGUGGGCGGAAUUCGUGGUGUAGCGGUGAAAUGCUAGAUAUCACGAAGAACUCCGAUUGCGAAGACAGUUCACUGGACUGCAACUGACACUGAGGCUCGAAAGUGUGGGUAUCAAACAGGAUUAGAUACCCCUGUAGUC
rnacentral:rRNA from 1 species